rnacentral:rRNA from 1 species
CCUACGGGUGGCAGCAGUGGGGAAUAUUGGACAAUGGGCGAAACCCUGAUGCAGCCAUGCCGCGUGAGUGAAGACGGCCUUCGGUAUGUAAAGUCCUUUCAGCAGGGAAGAAAAUGACGGUACUUGAUUCAUAUGCCACUGCUAACUACGUCACAACAGCCGCGGUAAUACGCAGGGGGCAAGCGUUAUCCGGAUUUACUGGGUGUAAAGGGAGCGUAGAUGGCAGCACGAGACUGGCGUGAAAUGCCGGGGCUUAACCCCGGAACUGCUUUGGAAACUGUGCAGCUAGAGUGCAGGAGAGGUAAGUGGAAUUCGUGGUGUAGCGGUGAAAUGCGUAGAUAUCAGGAGGAACACCAGUGGCGAAGGCGGCUUACUGGACUGUAACUGACGUUGAGGCGCGAAAGCGUGGGGAGCAAACAGGAUUAGAUACCCGAGUAGUC